ensembl:snoRNA SNORD10 small nucleolar RNA, C/D box 10
GUAUGAUGAUGAAAUCCAUGCGUGUCAACUGACUCUUGAGUCGUCCUGGUGUGGUGAUGUUCAGGCUAGCGUUCUGCUGACCUGGGUUUUCACAACAUCAGGGACUUGGAGACAUGAUCACACCCUCAUGGUUCUGAGUAC